GGGGCUGUAGCUCAGUGGUAGAGCAUUUGCCUCACAUGCAUGAGGCACUGGGUUCUAGCCUCAGCAUCA
rnacentral:tRNA from 1 species